GUACUGAUGAAGAGUCCCAAACUAGGACGAAACAGUUCCAGUAC
rfam:Trichobilharzia regenti genome assembly, scaffold: TRE_scaffold0001599